UUUGUUUGCAACUGUUAUUUUUUAAAGAAAAAGAUACAAUUUCGUUUUAAAAUAUUUUUUUUACAAAUGUUUUUUUAUUUUUUUUUAAAUAAUGUUUUAGAUAUAUUAGCAAAAUACAGAAAACCCGUAAAUUUACCUGUUUCGGAGGAGCCGUCGUUUACAAAGAACCCUAAUGGAAGUUGUUCACUCCAAUAAAGUCGCAUUAGUUCUGCAUCAGAUUGCUCACGUUUACGCCGACGGUUUAUAUUAUAUGGCGAACAAAUCUGUAAAUUUAUAAUGAAAUAUAAAUAACUACUUAUAAAUAAAAAUAAAAUUAUUUUCAGA